rnacentral:lncRNA from 1 species
GGACAAUUGAUGGAUGGAUGGAGGAUAGAUGGAUGGAGGAUGGAUGAGUGGAAGAUGAAUGGAGUGGAGGAUGGAUGGAUGGGUGGAGGAUGGACGAUAGAUGGAUGAGGUAGGUGGAUUGAGGAUGGAUAAGUGGAUGGAUGGAUGACUAGAUGAUGGAUAAAUGGAUGAUGGAUAGAUGGAGGAGAGAGGAUGGACGAAUGGAUGGAGGAUGGAGAAUGGAUAGAUGAUGGAUGGAUGAUGGAUGGAUGGAUAGAGGAUGGAUGGAUGAUCGAUGGAUGGAUGAUGGAUGGAUGAUGGAUGGAUGGAUGGAUGGAUGGAGGAUGGAUGGUGGAUGGAUGGAUGGAUGGUGGGUAGAUGGAUGAUGAAUGGAUGGUGGGUGGAUGGAUGGAUAAUGGA